rnacentral:rRNA from 1 species
UACAGAGGUCCCAAGCGUUGUUCGGAUUCACUGGGCGUAAAGGGUGCGUAGGUGGUUGGGUAAGUCUGAUGUGAAAUCUCUGAGCUCAACUCAGAAACUGCAUUGGAUACUAUCCGGCUAGAGAAUCGGAGGGGGGACUGGAAUUCUUGGUGUAGCGGUGAAAUGCGUAGAUAUCAAGAGGAACACCUGCGGCGAAGGCGGGUUGCUGGGCCGACACUGACGCUGAGGCGCGAAAGCCAGGGGAGCGAACGGG